rnacentral:rRNA from 1 species
GACGGAAGGUGCAAGCGUUGCUCGGAAUCACUGGGCGUAAAGGGUGCGUAGGCGGCCGUGCAAGUCUGGCGUGAAAGCCCUGGGCUCAACCCAGGAAGUGCACUCGAAACUCCCGAGCUGGAGUCCCGGAGAGGAAGGCGGAAUUCUCGGUGUAGAGGUGAAAUUCGUAGAUAUCGAGAGGAACAUCGGUGGCGAAGGCGGCCUUCUGGACGGUGACUGACGCUGAGACGCGAAAGCGUGGGGAGCAAACAGG